rnacentral:rRNA from 1 species
GUGAGGAAUAUUGGACAAUGGUCGGAAGACUGAUCCAGCCAUGCCGCGUGAAGGAAUAAGGUCCUAUGGAUUGUAAACUUCUUUUGAGAGGGAGCAAUAAGGUGUACGUGUACACCGAUGAGAGUACCUUUCGAAUAAGCAUCGGCUAACUCCGUGCCAGCAGCCGCGGUAAUACGGAGGAUGCGAGCGUUAUCCGGAUUUAUUGGGUUUAAAGGGUGCGUAGGCGGUUUUUUAAGUCAGCGGUGAAACGCAAGGGCUCAACCCUUGACCUGCCGUUGAAACUGGAGGACUUGAAUGCGGAUGCUGUGGGAGGAAUGUGUGGUGUAGCGGUGAAAUGCAUAGAUAUCACACAGAACACCGAUUGCGAAGGCAUCUCACAAAUCCGUGAUUGACGCUGAGGCACGAAAGUGUGGGGAUCAAACAGG